rnacentral:lncRNA from 1 species
GUCUGGGUAGAGUGCAAGACUCCUGUCUGGCACCACAGUGCCUUGUCUCUGCUUUCACAGGUGCGAYGGUCCCGCUGCUAGACUUCGAGAAGGGGCUCACGUGCCCUGCUGUCCUGCAGCUCCUGCGGAAAGGAUCGCUGCCAGGCGCUGAGGGCAGCCUCGCUCCGGAGCAGUGUGAGAGCGGGUGGGUGCUGCCCCCCAUCCGGCUCUACCUGAGCACCGCGCUGCCGCUCCGCACCCUGGGAGAAGCUCAGCCAACAAGCCGUUUCAGUAAUGCCGGCCAGUGGCUUUGCCUAAAGAUACGGAUGACUGUCUAUACAGACACACCUGAAACAAGAGAAGGUCCAGAGACAUGGAGCAAUGCUGGGUGAAGCAGUCCUACAGUUAUCAUCGUUUGCACGGAGGAUGAGACAGCGCACGCACCCGUAGGCUGCCACUUGAGCAUAAAGAGAUGGGCAGCAAAUGGAUUUCUCCAGCAAGAUGGGAAACUUUCUGGUCCAGCCACUCAGAUGAUAACUGAAAUUCAGCUCUUUGAAAAGGACAUUGCUGUUGAGUUUGAAAUCUUCCUUCUGGACCAUCUCAAAGGGCUGUUCUCCUGCUCAGAAAAGCAGUCUGUGAUUCAGACAGUGUUUGUGGGGGGGGGGGGGGGGGGGGGGGGGUGCUGCUACAGCAAUUAAAAAGGGAGGGUUUUUAAAUCUGUCAUGUUUCCACAUAUUGAUGAGAGCUUUGAUCUUAGUGGUGAGCAGUCUGAAAACCUAUUGUCAUCAGAAAUUUCCAUUUUACAUAGUGCCUCUUCCUUUCCCGCUCCAUCAUCUGMGAUGACUUGCAGGCCACCCAAGUUGGUUGUAUUUUCUUACAACUGAGCCAGCGGUAGCUUUCACAGYUGGCUAUUGGCACAGGCCUUUGAUAUAGCCUCCUUCUUCCCCUUGGCACCCCAUGGCACCAUUCAGCUUGUCUGUAGUGACAGGCUAUUGCUGCCCACCCAUGUUUAGCUGCUUGGCUUUUUGCACAUCUCAGACCCGUUGUGAACCGAGGGCUGUCAGAACAGCAGUUCUUUCCCGCUGUGAGUG